rnacentral:tRNA from 16 species
GGGGGUGUAGCUCAGUUGGGAGAGCACCUGCCUUGCACGCAGGGGGUCAAGAGUUCGAAUCUCUUCAUCUCCACCA